UCGUCGAGCGUCGUGUCGUUGAGAUGUUGGUUAGUCCGCACGAGCGCAACCCCUAUUGUUAGUUGCCAUCAUUCAGUUGGGCACUCUAGCGAGACUGCCGGUAAUAAACCGGAGGAAGGUGGGGAUGACGUCAAAUCAUCAUGCCCCUUAUGACCUGGGCUACACACGUGCUACAAUGGUUGGUACAACGAGUUGCGAGUCGGUGACGGCGAGCUAAUCUCUUAAAGCCAAUCUCAGUUCGGAUUGUAGGCUGCAACUCGCCUACAUGAAGUCGGAAUCGCUAGUAAUCGCGGAUCAGCACGCCGCGGUGAAUACGUUCCCGGGCCUU
rnacentral:rRNA from 1 species